GGGCUUGUACUGGUUUCGACGGGGAUCAUGCAGUCGGUGAAGCUAUCCGCAGGGCGAUGCGUUAAAUUCCAAAACCUAAAUAUAAACGCUGACGACAAUCAGUUAGCUCUCGCUGCCUAACCGCAGCUUGUGUCUCUCUUAGUGCACCUGCUCAUUAAGUAAGAGGCAUCGACUUAGCAGGAAACGGCAUAUCUUAAGCUUUGCGGAUAUGGCUGUAACAUGAAGCUAGUUAUGGAUCGGCGGUGUCUGCCACACCGUUUCAUAGCGAAUAAAUCCGGCGGACUAUGAUAGUAGAAGAACGAGGAAUUGGUUUUCGGACAGGGGUUCGAUUCCCCUCAGGUCCAGAA
rnacentral:tmRNA from 1 species